CCUACGGGUGGCUGCAGUCGAGGAUCUUCGGCAAUGGACGCAAGUCUGACCGAGCGACGCCGCGUGCGGGAUGAAGGCCUUCGGGUUGUAAACCGCUGUCAGUGGGGAGGAAAUCUAUAAGGGUACUCUCUUGUAGUUGACCAAUCCGCAGAGGAAGUGUGGGCUAAGUUCGUGCCAGCAGCCGCGGUAAGACGAACCACACAAACUAUAUUCGGAAUUACUGGGGUUGAAGGGUGCGUAGGUUGGGCUAGAAAUCCCUCGGCUUAACCGAGGAACUGCGCCCAAUACUGUAGUGCUUGAGGGAGAUAGAGGUGAGCGGAACUUAGGGUGGAGCGGUGAAAUGCGUUGAUAUCCUAAGGAACACCCGUGGCGAAAGCGGCUCACUGGAUCUUCUCUGACGCUGAGGCACGAAAGCUAGGGUAGCGAACGGGAUUAGAUACCCUUGUAGUC
rnacentral:rRNA from 1 species